GAUGGAAGAACGCAGCGAAGUGCGAUAAGUAAUGUGAAUUGCAGAAUUCCGUGAAUCAUCGAAUCUUUGAACGCAAAUUGCGCUUCCUGGCAUCCCGGGAAGUAUGCCUGUUUGAGGGUCAGUGUUAAUAAAAAUCGGUUCGUUGCGAAUUUUUUGUGACGUUCCGGAGUUUGGGUUAUCUUAACUUUUUUUGGUUAAGAGGCUUAAAAUUGACCUUUUUUUGUGCAUUUUAGACGUACAUAAAUUUUCUUUUAUUUGUCUAUUAAUGCCAAAAUAAUAUUAGAUGCGACCAUAUCGUGUGGUUCCGUGUCUAUAAAUUUUUCAUGAUUUGACCUCAAAUCAGGUAGGAGUACCCGCUGAACUUAAGCAUAUCAAUAAGCGGAGGA
rnacentral:misc_RNA from 1 species